UACGUAGGGGGCAAGCGUUGUCCGGAAUCAUUGGGCGUAAAGAGCGUGUAGGCGGCCACUUAAGUCCUGCGUGAAAUCUUGCGGCUCAACCGCAAGCGGUCGUGGGAAACUGGGUGGCUAGAGUGCGGGAGAGGAGAGUGGAAUUCCUGGUGUAGCGGUGGAAUGCGCAGAUAUCAGGAAGAACACCAGUGGCGAAGGCGACUUACUGGUCCAUUACUGACGCUGAGGCUCGAAAGCGUGGGGAGCAAACAGG
rnacentral:rRNA from 1 species